rnacentral:rRNA from 1 species
GUGCCAGCAGCCGCGGUAAUACGUAGGGUGCAAGCGUUAAUCGGAAUUACUGGGCGUAAAGCGUGCGCAGGCGGUUUUGUAAGUCUGUCGUGAAAGCCCCGGGCUCAACCUGGGAAUUGCGAUGGAGACUGCAAGGCUUGAAUCUGGCAGAGGGGGGUAGAAUUCCACGUGUAGCAGUGAAAUGCGUAGAGAUGUGGAGGAACACCGAUGGCGAAGGCAGCCCCCUGGGUCAAGAUUGACGCUCAUGCACGAAAGCGUGGGGAGCAAA